rnacentral:rRNA from 1 species
CCUACGGGAGGCAGCAGUAGGGAAUCUUCCACAAUGGACGCAAGUCUGAUGGAGCAACGCCGCGUGAGUGAAGAAGGUUUUCGGAUCGUAAAGCUCUGUUGUUGGUGAAGAAGGAUAGAGGUAGUAACUGGCCUUUGUUUGACGGUAAUCAACCAGAAAGCCACGGCUAACUACGUGCCAGCAGCCGCGGUAAUACGUAGGUGG